CUGAUUUCCCAAGUCAAAUUUUUCCUUCGUCUAUUCCUUCUCCAGGUUUUUUCAAGUGGGUUUUCCAAGUCUAUUCCUAUGGUGGUGUGCCUUCCAAUUCGGUGGUGUUUAGCCAAGUACAAUCUCUUCCUACUAGUCGUGGCUAUUGGAAGCGAUUUCCGUGACUGAUUAGUGCGGUUGAAUCUUCUCUUCCCUUGUCCGAUGUUACCAAUACUGUGAUCUGAUUUCUAAAAAAUGACGGGGUCACAUGAUGGAAACUCGCAUCUUCUUUCCCUCUGAUGCCUCAUCCGCUCCUUCCCCGCCAGACGGCCGCUCGUGGUUCAGGUUUUAAAGGCAGUAUCUACUUGCUGUCUCUCCCUUCUGGGGCAGAGUGAUUUUGUUGAUUACUUUGUGAAGAAUCAGUUUCUGUCUCUCUCUUCUGGGGCAGAGUGACUUUGUUGCUUACUUUGUUGAUUACUUUGUUUGUUGUUCUGGUUUGUUAUUAUUCUAUUUCCCUGUUUCACAACCGAACUCUGGUAGGUUUGUUUCUUUUGGGAGUUGAUUUUGUUUUUUAUAUUACUUAUAUCCUUUUUAAGUUUUGCAGAUUGCUGUCUAUUGAGUCUGCUCUUUCGCAAUCUCUAGUGCCUACUAGGCAUGACCAUGAGGAUUUUAGUGAUGAUAUUGAUGUGCUGAUGGCCUUGCGUUCGGACUUUCAUUUUUGUUUGUUGAGGUGGCUCUCAGAGAUGAUGGAGAUUGUGUGGGUCGAUGCUUGCAGGUCAGAGUGAGAGUUUUUACCCAAUCUCUUUGGAGGGCUGGACUACUUCCGGGCUUCUCUGGAUCUUCGUUCAUGGAGGACACGACGGAUGUUGGUGAUCAUCGCCUUCCUGUUCGUUUCUUGGCCGUGGAUGUGCCAUCGGUUGAGACGGUUUUUUCAAGUGGGUUUUCCAAGUCUAUUCCUAUGGUGGUGUGCCUUCCAAUUCGGUGGUGUUUAGCCAAGUACAAUCUCUUCCUACUAGUCGUGGCUAUUGGAAGCGAUUUCCGUGACUGAUUAGUGCGGUUGAAUCUUCUCUUCCCUUGUCCGAUGUUACCAAUACUGUUGUUCCCUCGGGGGCUCAUCCUACUACGUCCGGUUUGAGGUGUGGAGUUUACGGGUCCUAAGAGAGUUAAGGUGCUUCUAUCUCAGGAAGCUCAAGUUUGGCUAGAGGAUGGUCAUUUAUGGUUUUCUUUUUGAUGUUUUGGCCAAUGACAAGUUAUUCUCUUAUUUUUAAAUUUAUAUUGGGGGUGAUGUUGUGGUACUCUUUUUCCUUGACCGGAUUUUCCUCCAUUUGGGGGUUUUUAAAGGCAAGGUUUUAACGAGGCCACUCUUGUUGCAUCACUAAAGUCCAGUUCUUACUUUUGUACCCUGACAUUGUUGUUUCAAUAAAGUUAUCUUUACUUGAUCAAAAAAAAAAAAAAAGGUCCAC